AAAGGCACAUGCUUAGAGGGUCUGGAGAAGGCGAGGAAGAAGGAAGGGAGCCAAGUAAAACAUGUGACUGACCAGGGGCUUUGGAGAAGACAAGCCCUGCAGGAAGGCACGCAUGUGGUCAUUCUGUCUGUAGCCUCCCAUUCCUCCCUGCUUUCCCCAGCUGCAUCUACCUGGAUCCUGAAUUUGAACCAAGUGGUCCAAACGGCCCGGUCACCUGAGCAACCCCUCUGCAGGAACCGCAGCCAGAGGAGGAAGAGAAGGUUGGUCCUCAGCGCCUGGACGCCUGGUAGACGAUAGGGGAUGACAUGAUGAGUAAAAUAAGGACAGGAACACGCCGAAUCCCCUUUCAUAAUGAUAGGAC
rnacentral:lncRNA from 1 species